AUGGCGAUCCAACGAUUCUUCAUGAGUCUUCAAUAUUCCAAACAUCUUCAAUCUUCAUCAUCCCGCCAAGGCUUCAUAACAAAUCUUCGAUUUCUUCGUGUCAUCGUCAACACUUCACUACACAGAUCAACAACAAUGAUAUCAAUAGAAACGCAAAAUUACAAGGAUCAUUUGGAAUCUGAAAAUAUCAAUAGAAGACACAGAUAUUCUUUGGACUUCUGGUCAUAUUUGACGGUGUCUGAAGCACCACCGAAGUAUCUCUGGUAG